rnacentral:rRNA from 1 species
GCGUCUGAUUAGUUAGUUGGUGGGGUAACGGCCUACCAAGACGACGAUCAGUAGCCGGACUGAGAGGUCGAACGGCCACAUUGGGACUGAGAUACGGCCCAGACUCCUACGGGAGGCAGCAGUCGGGAAUAUUGCGCAAUGGAGGAAACUCUGACGCAGUGACGCCGCGUGCAGGAAGAAGGUUUUCGGAUUGUAAACUGCUUUAGACAGGGAAGAGAAAGGACAGUACCUGUAGAAUAAGCUCCGGCUAACUACGUGCCAGCAGCCGCGGUAAUACGUAGGGAGCGAGCGUUAUCCGGAUUUAUUGGGUGUAAAGGGUGCGUAGACGGGAAUACAAGUUAGUUGUGAAAUACCUCGGCUUAACUGAGGAACUGCAACUAAA